rnacentral:tRNA from 1 species
GCACGCCCUGCGCCAUGCGCUGCACCUGGCGCGCCUCGUAGGCGCUGAGCAUCUCGGGCGGCCAGUAGGGCGGUGU